rnacentral:tRNA from 1 species
CUUUUAAAGGAUAGAAGCC